AUGCCUGUCACUUGCAUGAGCACCAGCUAUUCGUUUGUCUAUGUGUUAACUGGCAUGGACUCUGGUGCUGUCGGGAGCCUCGAGCCUUCUUGUGGAUAUCUGGCAAUGACUCCUUUAGGUAGUCGGGCAGCGAAUGCAAGUUAUGCAGAGACCAUUGAACUCAUGAGGACCGGAUUCGCUGUUCGAUUUCCCACUGGGGGCAUCACUGAGUGCCUAAUGAAGUUGGUACGCGAACGUGAUGAAACAAAUACUAUUGAGGACUGGGCUUUGUUAUUUUUUUCCAUUGAACUCAGAUUCUGGAAUUGUGUGGUUUCUGUUGUUCCAUUGCAUGACAACAUUGCUUGGUCCUUAGGCACAUAUAUAAUAGCUCUUGCCAUCUGGCUCGUGAAGUGCAUUGCUGUACUAUGCAGAUUCAUGUUGGCACCCAUAGCUGUAUUGAUCUUCCUUGCUCACAAAUAUUGGAAAACAAGGAUAACAAUCGAUGCAGUAGAGAAGUUCCUUCUAAUGCAGCAAAUGUUGGGUCCAACAAGGUAUGCCUACACUGACAUCACCGCAAUCACAAACCAUUUCAGAGAUAAGCUGGGUCAGGGAGGCUACGGCUCGGUGUUCAAGGGUGUGCUAUCACCAGGCAACGUCCAUGUCGCGGUCAAGAUGCUGGAGGGUAACUCCAAUUGCAAUGGAGAAGAUUUCAUCAGUGAAGUUGCCACCAUUGGCAGGAUCCACCACGUCAAUGUUGUGCGUCUCAUGGGGUUCUGCCCGGAAGAAAUGAGACAAGCACUCGUCUACGAGUACAUGCCUCGAGGUUCUUUGGACAAAUACAUCUUCUCAGCCAAGAAGAGUUUCUGUUGGGACAAGCUCAUGGAGAUUGCUUUAGGCAUUGCCAGGGGUAUCCAUUACCUGCAUCAGGGUUGUGACAUGCAGAUUCUGCACUUUGACAUCAAGCCACACAACAUCCUUCUCGACAGCAAUUUUGUCCCCAAACUUGCUGAUUUUGGUCUUGCCAAACUGUACCCAAGGGACAACAGUUUCGUGCCAUCAAGAGCCCUGCGUGGAACAAUCGGGUACAUAGCUCCUGAGAUGAUAUCUCGGAGCUUUGGCGUCAUAUCGAGCAAGUCGGAUGUUUACAGUUUUGGGAUGCUGCUGUUGGAGAUGGCCGGAGGAAGAAGGAAUGUUGAUCCGAAUGCAGCGCACUCGAGCCAGGCAUACUACCCAUCAUGGGUGUAUGAUAGGCUAACUCAGCAAGAAUGGGGUGAGAUAUCUGUUCAUGUCGUUGACAUGCAUGAGCUGGAGAGGAAGCUGUGUAUUGUCGGACUAUGGUGCAUUCAGAUGAGGUCUCAAGAUCGACCCACGAUGGGCGAGGUUAUAGAGAUGCUGGAAGGCUGUGUCGAGGGCUUGGAGAUGCCUUCGAGGCCAUUGUUCUGCGAUGAAGGACACACCCAUACUGAGGAUACUUAUCAUUUGUCGUCCGAGUUGACUGAAAUAUCGGAGGAGGAUAUGAGUGAAAAUAUCAUUGUGUGA
rnacentral:rRNA from 1 species